GACAGGAUGGCCGAGUGGUUAAGGCGUUUUUAUACUAAGCAAAUUCCGAAUGGAGCGCGGGUUCGAUUCCCGCUCCUGUCG